CAUAAAAAUAAGAUUCUCAUUUCUUAUUUCCACUAUUUCUAUCAUAUUCUCACUUCUAAUAAUUCCUCGUUCUCAUUCUCCAUCCCAAUAACUAACACCUUAGACUAAUAAUUUUCAAUUUCCCCCCAAAACAAAAAAAAAAAAAAUCAAUUUAUCCCCCAAAUAAUGUCGCUGACGUAUUAAAUUAUCCCCCAAAUAUAUUCUGUCAACAAACCAUUUUAUAGCCAAAAAUACUGAUUUAAUCAAAUACAAAUAAGUUAAUUUUUAAACAUUAAAAAUAAAGCAUUAUUUAUAAAUAAAAAAAUUAAUAAGAUGCAAAACUAUUCACGAUCAAAUCAUCUUCACCAAUUGGAAUUCGAUCAUUCAAAUUCCUAAUCUAAUUCCACUUCACCACAUCACUCACUGGAUGAAAUUCAAACUCCUCAAUCCAAGCCAUUCAAAUUCCUUAUCUGUCUCCAUAAAUUUAAAAAUCGAAGUAAAACCCUAAUCUAGCAUAUACACCCAAUUCAAUAACAGCCACCAUCGAGUGUUCCAAAACCCUAAUACAAUGAUUGACUGAUUGGUGACUGCUGGGUUUGAUUGUUAUCGAUUGUCCGAAUACAUUAAUGAUGGCCGCAAGGCCCAAUUCCCAGUGGAAGAUGGCAAAUCGACGGUAAAGCUGCGCGUGGGUUUGAAUAUGAUGGUGCGUUUGUCUUUGUGAGAAAGAAGUUGAGAAUUUCAGAAUGAUAUGUGAUAAAAUAAUUUCAGAAUUGAUGAAGAAGACGAAGAACAAAGAAGAAAGAGUAAGAAGCAGCAGAAUUGAUUUUGUUAUUUUUUUUCUUUUUCUUUAUCCCUUAAAACCAAUAAAUUAAUUAUUUUCGUUUGUUUUGUUAAAUUUUAAUUAAGUAUAUUGGUUUUUAAUUCAUAUUUCAAAUAUUGUUUUUCUUUAUCACUCGGAUUUUUAUCAAUUUUGUUUAUCCCAAUCGGGUGUUUAUCACUUUUAUCUUUAAAUUAAGGAUUAAAAUAAAAAGACAAUUAUGAAAACAAAAAUUAGUGGUUCGGGUGUAAGGAAAAACUUAAUAAGACAUUUGGCGAAUGUUAAAAUUUAUUGAACAAUUGAGAGUGGCUUGAAAAUAAUCAGUAAAAAAAAGAGUGCUGAGAUAUUUUCAGUUUUUCACCCCGCAAUUUUUGUAAACCAACGCCACUUCUAGGGCUAGUUUAGAAAUAAUGUACUUUUUAAAAUAAUUGUUGUUAUUUG
rnacentral:lncRNA from 1 species